UAACCUGCCUCUUAGCGGGGGGUAACUAUUGGAAACGAUAGCUAAUACCGCAUAAAAGUCGAUAUCGCAUGAUAUUGAUUUGAAAGGUGCAAAUGCAUCACUAAGAGAUGGACCUGCGUUGUAUUAGCUAGUUGGUGAGGUAACGGCUCACCAAGGCGACGAUACAUAGCCGACCUGAGAGGGCGAUCGGCCACACUGGGACUGAGACACGGCCCAG
rnacentral:rRNA from 1 species